rnacentral:rRNA from 1 species
UACGAGGGGUGCAAGCGUUAUUCGGAUUCAUUGGGCGUAAAGGGUACGUAGACGGCGUAUUAAGUUAGUUGUUAAAUCUCUCGGCCUAACCGAGAUCAAGCAAUUAAGACUGGUAUGCUAGAGGUUGGAAGAGAGGAGUGGAAUUCUCGGAGUAGCGGUAAAAUGCGUAGAUAUCGAGAGGAACACCGAUGGCGAAGGCAGCUCCUUGGUCCAUACCUGACGUUGAGGUACGAAAGCGUGGGUAGCAAAC